rnacentral:rRNA from 1 species
UCAUUAAGGGUAUAUGGCGGAUGCCUUGACUCAAGAAGCCGAUGAAGGACGUAGCAGCCUGCGAUAAGCCUCGGUUAGGUGGCAAGCAACCUUUGAUCCGAGGAUGUCCGAAUGGGGAAACCCGCCCCGCCAAAAGCGGGGCGUCCGCCAGCUGAAUACAUAGGCUGGCGAGACGACUACCCGGUGAAUUGAAACAUCUUAGUAGCCGGAGGAAAAGAAAAAAAUAUUUAUUCCCUAAGUAGUGGCGAGCGAACGGGGAACAGUCUAAACCUUUUAAACCGCGUCCCCUGCCACAUUGUGGCGGGAGACUGAAGGAGCUGGGUCCAUAUGUUUUAAAGGGGUUGCAAGAUAGUUAUUAUCGCUCCCAGAAGAGCGAGGCGGAGGCAAUAAAAGUAAUUUUCUAGUUGAAGCGAGCUGGAAAGCUCUGCCAGAGCGGGUGAUAGCCCCGUAAGCCAAAGGAAUUACUACUCUGCGAUAGCAUAUCUUAAGUACCGCGGGACUCGUGAAAUCCCGUGCGAAGCCGGGUCGACUAUGACCCAAGACUAAAUACUUCUUGAGAUCGAUAGUGAACAAGUACCGUGAGGGAAAGGUGAAAAGCAUCCCGGUAAGGGAGAUGAAAUAGUAUCUGAAACCAUAUACUUACAAGGAAUGGGAGCCGUGUCUCACUAACGUUCGACACGGAAUUCCUAAUUUCUAAUUCCUAAUUCCUAAUAAAAUGUCUAAUUAUUUAAUGUCCAAUGUCAAAAAAUAUUUGUUGAUAAUUUGGAGAUUAAAGAUUUAGUAUUUAAUUGGAAAUUGGAAAUUGGAAAUUGGAAAUUCACGUGGCGAGCGAUAGCGAGACACGGUGACCGUGUGCCUAUUGAGGAAUGAGCCAACGAGUUUGCUGUAUGUGGCUUGCCUAAGUGCCAAAUGGCAUGCAGGCGUAGUGAAAGCGAGGGUUAAUAGCCCGCCAGGUCUUAUAUUCACAGUAUUUAGAUAUUGCUUCAUUCAUAGAAUUAUUUGUAUUUUUUCCAUGGAUAACGAAUUUUAGAUUUAUGAUUUUCGAUUUUUGAUUUAAAUCUCAAAUUGAAAAUCUAAAACCGGAAAUAAACCAUGGUAAAUGAAUAAUAAUAUGAAUGAAGCAAUAUCAAGUUCUAUGAACUUUACUGUGAUUAUAUGUCCUAGGUCGCAUAUACAAGACCCGAAGCCGUGUGAUCUAGCCAUGAUCAGGUUGAACCCUUGAGAAAUCAAGGGGGAGGACCGAACCCACUAGCCGUGCAAAACUAGGGGAGGAAUCGUGGUUAGCGGUGAAAUUCCAAUCGAACUCGGCAAUAGCUGGUUCUCCUCGAAAUAGCUUUUGGGCUAGCCUCGAGUGUUCCUUUCAGGGGGUAGAGCACUGAAUGAGGGCAGGUCGCAAGAUACUGCCCUUAACCAAACUCCGAAUACCUGGAAGUUAAGCUCGGGAGUCAGACUAUGGGCGCUAAGGUUCAUUAGUCUAAAGGGAAACAGCCCUAAUCACAAUCUAAGGUCCCUAAAUAUAGGCUAAGUGUAAAAGGUGGUGUCGCGACUGCGACAACUAGGAGGUUGGCUUAGAAGCAGCCAUCCUUUAAAGAAAGCGUAAUAGCUCACUAGUCAAGUUGCCGCGCGCCGAAAAUAUAUCGGGGCUAAGCAUAUUACCGAAGAUGUGGGCGUCCCAGUGCCGAUGUUGAUACCGAUGUUGAGUUUCGUCCCUGCCGCAAUUGCGGUUAGGGACGAGGCCAAAAGGCAGGUAGCAAUCUCGGCACUGGGACGCGGUAGAGGAGCGUUCUAAAUUCGCUGAAGCUUAAAUGUGAAUUUGAGUGGAGGAUUUAGAAGAGAGAAUGUUGGCAUGAGUAGCAAAAAGGCAGGUUAAAACCCUGCCCACCGAAAACUUAAGGUUUCCUGGGCAACGCAAAUCGACCCAGGGUUAGUCGGUCCUAAGACGAGGCCCGUGUAGUGCGGGCGUAGCCGAUGGAUGAGCUGGUUAAUAUUCCAGCACUGCCGUAGUCUGCUGAUGGGGGGACGCGGUUUAAAAGUUUGAGCGUUUUUAAUGGUAUGAACGUUAAUGGCGUUGGCGAUAGGCCUAGGCAAAUCCGGGCCAAUAUUUUUCAACGUUGUUGAAAGACAAAGCUUCGGCCGAGUCAAUUCAGAUGGAUAAAUCGCCCAGAAAAACCUCUAAGGCCGCUCCGUAUAUUGCGGAGCAAAAGGAUUAUGGCAACCGUACCGUAAACCGACGCAGGUAAGUAAGGCGAGAAGCCUAAGGUGUACGAGAGAACCUUCGUUAAGGAACUCGGCAAAAUAGCGGCCGUAAGUUCGCAAUAAGGCCUGCCGUCCCCGUGCCGAUAUUGAUCCUUGUGUUGAGCCAAGUCCAGUGCCGAAGUUGCAAUUUCGGCGGGGACGAGGCCAAAAGGCAGGUGUCAAUAUCGGCAUUGGGACGGCCGCAGCUAAAGAAUUCAAGUGACUGUUUAACAAAAACACAGCUCCCUGCUAACUCGCAAGAGGAUGUAUAGGGGGUGAUGCCUGGCCAGUGUCCGAACGUUAAGGGGAGAGGUCAGCCGUGCAUAGCACGGAAAUCCCAAUAACCAAAUUCCAAAUUACAAACAAUAUCAAAAUUCAAAAUACUAAAUUCAAAACGAUUUUGUUUAGAAAUUAUAAUUUUGAACAUUAGAAUUUGUUUGUGAUUUGGUACUUGUGAUUUGGAAUUUCCGCGCUGUGCGCGGCAAAGCUUUAAACCUAAGCGCGGAUGAACGCCGGCGAUAACUAUAAAUUGACGGUUGUAGUUAUAAAAUUUGGCUAAAUGCUGGAAACUCCGGAGUAAAAAAUGUACUCGUCUGAAAAAUGGCAGUGAAAAUCAUUUUUUGUAUCCCGCCAUUCGGGAUGCCGGACAAUCAGCAGGAAAGACUCUUAAAAAAUAUUAUGAGCAAUCAAAAUUGGUUAAAUAAGAUUCCAUUAGAAUGGGGGCAUUAUUUAUCAGGAUUUACUGAUGGAGAAGGCAGUUUUAAUGUUUCUCUUCGCAGAAGAGAAGAUCAUCUAAUGAAGUGGCAAGUUGUCCUGGCCUUUAAUGUUUCCCAAAAAGAAUCUUAUAUACUUUCGCAGCUUAAAAAGCAUUUAGGUUGUGGAAGAAUCCAACAAAGACAAGACGGAUUGUUUAUGUAUGUUUGUUCUAAUCCCUUGUCGAUUCAAGAACGAGUUAUUCCGUUUUUUCGGAAAUUUAAUUUUCGUUCUCAACAAAAAAAGAAAAAUUUUUCUAUUUUUUGCCAGAUUGCCGAAAAGAUAUUCAGAAAAGAACAUCUAACUUCUCAAGGCUUGGCGGAAAUUGUCAAACUAAGAGAAAGUUUAAAUGAAGGCAGGGGUAGGAAAAGAAAAUACGAACAGAGUGAUUUUCAAAAAUCACAAGAAGAGUAUCCUCAGAGACUAUAUGCCAAACCGCGAAAAUUCAGAAGAGAAUUUUUCACGGAUGAUAUAGUCCGAUCUCAUGGGCAACUAUGAGGAUCCCGAGAGUGGGUGAUAACGUGAAUGAAUCGUCCUAAGGUAGCGAAAUUCCUUGUCGGGUAAGUUCCGACCUGCACGAAUGGCAUAACAACUUGAAUACUGUCUCAACGAAGGACUCGGUGAAAUUGCAAGACGAGUAAAGAUGCUCGUUAACCAUAGUUGGACGAAAAGACCCCGUGAAGCUUUACUAUAACUUGAUAUUGAGUUAGGGGUACGGAUGUUCAGUAUAGGUGGGAGCCCCGCAUUUUGCGGGGCGACAGUGAGAUACCACCCUUGCGUGCUUUUAAUUCUAACCCAAAUCCCGUGAAUCCGGGUUGGGGACAGUAUCUGGCGGGUAGUUUGUCUGGGGCGGAUGCCUCCCAAAAGGUAACGGAGGCGUUUACAAAGGUUGGCUAUCCCGGGAUGGAAAUCCGGGAGAUAGUGUAAAGGCACAAGCCAGCUUUACUGCAAGACCCGCAAGUCGAGCAGUCGCGAAAGCGGAACUUAGUGAUCCGACCGUGCGAUAUAGGACGGCGGAAGCUCAUCGGAUAAAAGCUACUCCGGGGAUACGCUUGUGUCCCUGUCCCGCAGCAAUGCGGGACAAAGUACGUGGCUAAUAACGGUGAAACCCUUUAUAAGUCAGAGGUGAAUUGUAAAGGGCAAUACCGUGGGAAGUUAGAGGGCUUAACAUAAAAUGUAUGAAGUUAAGCAAAAGACAAAAAAUGAUUAUCUAUGGCUUGGUUUUAGGUGAUGGUUUUUUGCAAAAAACCGGCUUAAAGAACGCACGUUUGCGCUUGGAGCAUUCUGCUAAACAACGUGAAUAUAUGGAUUGGAUUUUUCAGUCCCUGUCUAACCUGUUUGAGACAAAACCCAAACCAUUGAGCCGUCAGCAUCCAAAGACAAAGCAAAUUUAUCAUUAUUAUAGGCUGCAGAGCCAUUCUUCGCCUGUGUUUGGUAAAUUGCGGCGACAAUUUUAUUAUGAUAAUCAAAAAAUUAUUCCGGAAAACAUCAAUAAAUUAUUAUCAAGCAGAUUAACUUUAGCGGUUUGGUAUAUGGAUGACGGCUAUUAUUACCGGCGUGAUAAGUCAGCUCAUAUUUACUUAUCGCGGCUUGAUCAUUUUAGCCGACAAAGAUUAUUGAAAUGCCUAAAAGAUAAUUUUAGCUUAUUGGCUAAAAUUUACUGCCGGCCUGAUAGACGGGCCUGCCAGUUGAAUUUUAGCGGUCCAAAUAAGGACAAAUUGUUUGAGUUAGUGCGUCCUUAUAUGAUACCGAUGUUUAAUUAUAAAUUACCCUCUAACCCCGUAUCGACUAAGAGCGAGAAAUAAUGGAAGCUGUCAGCUUCAUUACUGACAGGCGUUAAGAGCUCAAGAUGCCGGUCAAUUACACCGGCAUAAUAUGCCGCGCCCCCGCAUAAUGCGGGGUGAAGAUAUAGUCAGUGCUUAAGGUAACUUAAGAAGUAGCCCUGUAAUACUGCGGGGCGAAAUUAAAUGAACAGGCUAGUCACGCCCAAGCGUCCACAGCGACGGCGUGGUUCGGCACCUCGAUGUCGGCUCGUGUAAGGGUCGAGUUAUUGAGUAAUCGAUAACAUGUAAAUUGGCUAAUAACGGUGAAACCCUAUUGAUGAAACCCAGAAACAAUAGGGCAAUACCGUGGGAAGUUGAUUAAUUUAUAUUGUUUAUGGUUUUAACUCAAAGACAAAUUAAUAUCAUAAUAGGAUUAAUAUUGGGGGAUGGCGGAUUAGAAAAAAAUGGCAACAAUGUUCGCUUAAGAGUGGAGCAUGGAUUCAGUCAGAAAAAAAUAUUUAAUGUGGUUGUACGGCGAAUUAAAAAACAUAAUAAGCCGUCCGCCCCGCAUAGUUUCCAGCCGAAGCUCUAAAAGCGGUAAAAUUUAUUCCAGAUGGCAUUUUUCAACCCUAUCCUUAAAAUGUUUAAACUCCUAUUAUCAUAAGUUUUAUCAGAAGGCUAAAAAAGUAGUUCCUAAUGAUAUAAAUAAACUAUUAAUAUCGCCUUUGAGUUUAGCGAUUUGGUACAUGGAUGAUGGUUAUCGGCGCAAUGAUUGCAGAGCGUUGCGCAUUAGUAGCGAUUCAUUUAACUAUAAUGAACAAAUUAAACUCACUAGUUGUUUAAAUAGUAACUUUACUAUUAAUUGCAAGUUGCAUAAAAAAGCCGGCGCUUGGAAUAUAUACAUACCGGUUAAAAGUUCUGAUAGUUUUUGUACUCUAGUCAAACCAUAUAUCAUACCAUCAAUGCGAUAUAAAUUAAUUUAACCCCGUAUCGACUGAUUCCGCAAGGAUGAGAUGGAAGGUACCUGAUAAUCAGGAAAUAAACUUCCAUCAUAUGCCAACCCCUGUUAAUUUUAAUGGGGUGAAGAUAUAGUCAGUGCCAUUAGUAAUAAUGGAAUAAUAUGCGUCGCAUCCUGGGGGUGGAGAAGCUCCCAAGGGUUGGGCUGUUCGCCCAUUAAAGCGGCACGCGAGCUGGGUUCAGACCGUCGUAAGACAGGUCGGUCUCCUAUCUACUAUGGUCGCGGAAACUUGAGAAGGACACUCUUUAGUAGACCCUGACGGGUUAUGCUACUUGCGGGAGUAAUCCCGCAUGACAAUACGGCUAAUAACGGUGGAAGCUUUAAAAUAUUUAUGGUACAAUAUAUGUGAGGACCAUAAAUAUUAAGUCAAUACCGUGGGAAGUCGAUCAAAUAUUACAAAUAAAACAUCCGAACUCGCCUAUAUUGCUGGUUUUUUAGACGGCGAUGGCAGUUUGAUGCUGCAAAUAAAAAAACGAAGCGACUCCAAGCGAGGCUGGCGUUUCAUGGCUACAAUCUGUUUAUAUCAAGACAGUCGACACGAUAAGCCGCUUUAUUGGAUGAAGAGUCGUUUAGGUAUCGGUUAUAUAUCAAAGAGAAAUGAUAAUAUUACAGAACUACGCAUUAACGGAUACAAGCAAUGCAAUAAAAUAUUGCGUAAAUUGUAUCCGUUUAUAAAGUUUAAGCAGCCACAGAUUAAAUCAUUGCUUAAGGCGAUUGAUAUAUUAAUCAGGAAGCCGCUAGAUAAGCUGACUCGCGGUGACCGGAAAAAAUUAUUAUUUUGUAUAAUGACCAUACAAAAUUUUAAUUAUCAAUCUCCGAGAAAAAGAUCGAUUGAGCAACUUAAAAAAAUAUUUGAUUUGACCCCGUAACGACUGAUUUACUCCCGAAUUUUCGGGAAAAUGAGAUAGAAGGUACCUGAUAAUCAGGAUUUAAACUUCUAUCAUAUGCCGUCACCCUACCCCGCUUAUAAUUUAAGCGGGCAAGAGGGUGAAGAUAUAGUCUAUGCAUCUAGUGAUAGAUGAUAACAUGACGAGAGGACCGAGAGUGACGAAGCUCUAGUGUACCAACUGUCCCACCAGGGGCACCGCUGGGUAGCUAUCUUCGGUUAGGAUAAACGCUGAAAGCAUCUAAGCGUGAAGCCGUCUUCAAGAUUAGGUUUCAUAGGCUGGUCAGAGAAUAUGACCUUGAUAGGCUCUAGGUGUAAGGCCCGCGAGGGUUUGAGCCGAGGAGUACUAAUAAGCCAUUUGAUUUU